rnacentral:rRNA from 1 species
GACGAACGCGGCGGCGUGCCUAAUACAUGCAAGUAGAACGCUGAAGGAGGAGCUUGCUUCUCUGGAUGAGUUGCGAACGGGUGAGUAACGCGUAGGUAACCUGCCUGGUAGCGGGGGAUAACUAUUGGAAACGAUAGCUAAUACCGCAUAAGAGUAGAUGUUGCAUGACAUAUGCUUAAAAGGUGCAAUUGCAUCACUACCAGAUGGACCUGCGUUGUAUUAGCUAGUUGGUGAGGUAACGGCUCACCAAGGCAACGAUACAUAGCCGACCUGAGAGGGUGAUCGGCCACACUGGGACUGAGACACGGCCCAGACUCCUACGGGAGGCAGCAGUAGGGAAUCUUCGGCAAUGGACGGAAGUCUGACCGAGCAACGCCGCGUGAGUGAAGAAGGUUUUCGGAUCGUAAAGCUCUGUUGUAAGAGAAGAAACGAGUGUGAGAGUGGAAA